CGGAGUUUGAGCGCAUGAUGUUAGGUCCCGAAAAACGACGAGCUAUGCUUGAGCAGGCCGAAGCCAGGCCAAAACUUGGUGGAGGGCCGUCACAGUACUGACGUGCAAAUCGUUUGUCAAACUUGAGUAUAGGGGCGAAAGACCAAUCGAGUCGUUUAGUAGCUGGUUUCCACCGAAGUUUCCCUCAGGAUAGCAGAGAAAGCGACCGAGAGACGUGCGGUAAAGACAAUGAUUAGGAGUCCCGGGGGCCUUGUGCCCUCGGCUCAUUCUCAAACUUUAAAUGCGCGCAACGGUGCCGGGCGCGGUGGCUCCCACCCGGCAUCUCCUUCGAGGCUUCUCUAGUGGGCCACGUUGGUAAGCAAGGAUGGCAAAAAGGGUUCAAACUUAUGCCCGGUUAGGCGCGCGAACACACCGUCAAGUGCAAGGUAAAAGGUGUUGCCCCAUGAUGACAGCUGGACAGUGGCCAUGGAAGCCGGCAUCUGCUAAGGAGUGCGUAACAGCUCACCAGCCGAAUGGGGUAGCCCUGAAAAUGGACG
rnacentral:rRNA from 10 species